AAAGAACUCGUUCAUGGACAAAACUUUCUCCCCAGAACGCCCUCUCCGAAAGUUACGACAUCGAUUUCACCCUUUUUUCUUACCUCUCCCGGUAACUCCUUACGACCUUUCUCACCAUGAGAGUAGCAUCAGCUUCUCCCUGCGUUCAUUCCGCUGUCUCCUGAUCCCUCGGUAUGGAUUGUCUCCAGGAAGAUCCUCGUACACAUAUUUUACGGCACGCAUUUCACGUAUACAGAGCCUCCUUCCUAUCCGAUACGGUCACUGGAUCCACACGGGAAGAUAAGCUACGUUAAAAUCCUCCGUGAAAUAGUGUCCUGGUCACAUCCGAGUCCAGCGUUCGUUCACCGGUCACAAACCUCUUGGCGGUCGGUCGAGUCCCUCGUGGAUUAAAAGAGCGCUGCUUUCGGACGCCAAGAUUAUUAUUCGCUAUCCCUUCGAGUUCCUGUUUCACUUGCCCACGCACAAUAAUCUCCGCAGCAGGCUCACGCGAGCCUUUUACCAGAUUAUCGAUUCCACCAGACGUUAAGCACUAGACACCGUGAAGAGUCACUCUCCGGGUAUCCUCGGGACGAUAACGACCACCUGGAUCUGCUCUCCUUGGAGCUCAACCCUUGAGUAGGGAUCCUCCCAGACACUGCAUUCCACCGUAAUACACUCGGUAACCAUCUCAACUAUCUCCAAGAGGGGACCCACGGGGCAGACGUAACAAGCCCGCAGCCCGAUGCGUAUCCUGGCGUCCUCUUGUGGUGCUGAUCACUUGGUCGCGUUACUACGAAACCGCGUUCAAUCACUGGCAUUACGAUCGGGAACGUAGACCAGCCGGGACACGGCAGGCCUGUAAAUAAAGCUUACGGGAGUAAAGGAGUAAAGGAGCAAAGGAGUGGUGGCAUGCCGUCCGUCCACUCUCGCCUGCAACUCUCAGCUUCGCAGCAUCCCACUCCUAUACCUCCUCGAGAGAGGAGGCACGCUCUACUCCUUGGCGUUCUCCGUUCGCUGCCUCCGCCCAUGCGGACUCUCCUUCUGGUAUUAUGCCGGGUUCACAAAGUCCAAAGGGAUCUUUAGCAGAUCUAGCGAUCUCUGCGUACUGGGAGAGGAAGGUAGAAAAGGAGACUGGAAAAAAGAAAGAUAAGACUCUCAGCCACAUCGGUAAAGAAUAAUAGAGGGAAAAAAUAGAUCACAGGAAGGAGCAGAUAAGUCAAAAUAACGAAAAAUCCCAAUCGCAUGUGAUACAACCUUUAUGCAUGGGCGUACUUAUGGGCUAUAUCUUUCUAUACGCGUAUACGUAUAUAUAUCCAAGAGCACAUACGGGACCGGAUUAUCCCAUUUGAUGAUUGUAGAGACGCCUUGAAUUUUCGUGGGUCGAUCACAGCCUCGUACGAUUCUCCUACGGUGGGCCUAGGGCUCCAUUCUCUUGGCUCUAGACAAGGCUUUCUACUUUUCUCCGUACUCCCACGUGAGACGAUCGUAGGAUCGCCGAUGCUUUCGUCAAGGGAUUGGACUGUGGACUAUGCAUUCUCCUUCGUUCCUUCCCGUUGACUCUCUCUCUCUCUCUCUCUCUCCACCUCAUCCAGAGCCCAUACACACUGCCUACCGUAAUGGCCGAAGCCAAUGAACCGAGCACGGUGUCUCGCGGAAAAUGACUAAGUUAUGCUUUCACCGAAGAAACAUCUUCUUACGCUGUCCGGUGAUGCCGCGACGAUUCUCAAAGUACGUUACCGCCGUGUUAUGCGUCUCUGACGUAACAUUGAAAAAUGUCACUCGUUAGCCACCGUAGGCAGACAGCGAGUUAGGUAAAUAAGUUCCAGGCACUUUUACAAGGUUACGCGCGGACGACGAAUUUAUCAUGGGAAUACUCAAAGGAUACUGAAGGAGCCUUGCCGAGGACAUUGCUGGUUGCAGUCAAGGCAACUCGAGGACAUUUACCCAACGAAACACGACCUUGAUCUUAAACGGACCACGCGCCAUGUAUCUACAGCAUACAUAUGUAGGCAGACUAUAUCCCUCGCUAUAGUCUUCGGUCCCAAGCAAUAUUCUAGUCAGUACGCGGCUGGCCAACAUCAUCGUCGAGACGCGUAACGUAUUCCAUCUGUCCAGUGACGUAUCUGGUGUCUCGGUGAAGUUAACCAGUCAAGAUGUCUCCAAUGAGACUCGUAAUAACCAGACUGCAAUUGAGAACUAGUCUGACGUCCUUGCGUGUGCCAUCUUCGAGACCGUCCCUUUUACACGCACUUGACCACGCCAAUGGUUCUUGGACAGUGACGAUCCUCCUGACCACCCCUCUGGAUAUGCGUGCCAGCCCAUGUAAAUUAUAGAUCACAGACCAGGAAGAGGAUUGGCGGUGUAUAUUUGAGGAUCGAUAGGUGCGCCCUGGACUCGCUUAAGGUAAUUUCCUCGUUAUCAGCGUGUUCGAUAACCACGUGGCAAAUAGGACGUUCGUCGGCCUGGGUUUGACUGUAAACAGUGCUUAAGAGAAAACAAUUAUCCGGCUGGCACUCGCAAUUCAUUCGAUUUCGUACGGCUCUACCUGUCGCGUGUGCCUGUGUACCUGUAAACGGACAAAGGGGAGUAUACUUGUAUGUAUAUCGCAGAAGGCGAGGCUCGGUAGCGAGGAUAAAAAAUCCCUCGACUAAUCCGUUGGUGUUGUCUAAAUAGAAUUAGCACGCCACCGGAUAAAAAUGGAUGAGUCCCCUGUCGCACGGGUCGCUCGUGCAGUUUAAAUAUCCCUUCGGGUAGCAUCAACGGGUUAUUAGCCGGCGUUCCGAAGAGAGGAAGAAAAGCAAUGAGAACAAUGACCGGCGAUGGCUCACUGAAAAGGUAUCACGACUGUUUUGUGAUUCGGCGUAGACGUUCUUCGUUUUGAUAUCUUGCAGCUGCAUUACCGACGCCACUGGCGUCCUAACCAAACGAGGGAAAUUAGAACGCGGAGUCGGACACCUGCACGGAGAGCUUACUAUAGGGCUGGUGAUAAAUUAAAGAAAAAAAAAACCGGGCGCCCUGAUGGCUCCGACGCUAGCUAUGUAUGUACGUGGGUCAUGGUAAUAUUUGAGCACGACCAAGAAAAACUUUUCUUUCUUUUUUCUUGUAUUUUCAUUAUUUACACUUGGGUAAACAAAAAAUGCGGACGGUACUCGAGUCCGGGUAUAGAUAUACCCUGUAACUGGAGUCUCGAGAUGAACCCGUUGCUACAAUAAAGGGGGACCGAGUAGAGGACGUUUUAUGUGACUUAAAAGCGGAUGCCAAUGAAAACUGAAGCGAUAAUACCAGCUGGCAAGUAUGCACUGUACGUAUUAUAAUGAUUAAGGACUGGUUGAAAUUUGCCAAGAGGUACCCAUACUAGAUGUGAAUUGCCGUACGAUUAAAUAACCAGAUGUAAUCGAUAUUUUAUUGAAAUAUACGACCCUCUGAGAUUGCAGUACCGGGGCGUAUAAUAAUUUCAAUUAAUUUAAAGCCAAUGAACAAGUGAAAACGUUCGGAGGCGAAUUUAAUGGUUUCACCCGGUACUUUUCUUCGGUAUGGAAUAAAGUAAAUGGCUAUGUGAAGGACAGCGUAGCUUUAUCGAUCGGGUCGAUCGGUCUGCACCUUCCUUUCUUGACGUAGCACCCCCGCGUUGUGAUUUCGCCUUUAGGUAAUCGAGCGUGCGAACCUUUUCCACGGGUAGAUUGUGCGGCGAACCUGACGUUUACGUUGCACGAAGAAUUACACGCAUGAGGAACGGCGACGAACGCGAGGCGAUCUCGGGAGCGAGGAUAGUCGUUUUAUACUCUACGUGCUGAUGGCUAUUAGAGAGAAAUUCACAACGUCAUACGGUCAUAGUUCGUUUCCAUUGAAAGACGCACGAGCGACUAAUAAACGCAAUUACCUCACAUGCAAAUAAAACCGGUGAGUAUGAGUGGUCGGCGUCACCGGUGAGAAGACUGACGUCAUCAGUCAUUUGCGAGAGAGUUUUUACAUGAGAAAAUGAUGAGGAUCAAACGAGCUGAGUCCGUUGUCCCUUAGGCUGUCGCUAAGAGACAAGACGGGAAGGGUUAACUCGAGGAGGAAUAUGAGGGACAAGAAAGGGAUGGAAUCGCAUGGGAAAGGGCAGGGAAGGUACAAGGGACUCUUGCCGGUUCACUUGGGUUAGCUGAUGAAUAAAGAAAAGCUCGUUAAAUCUUGGAUGGGUACUGCUUGAGGCGAGGCGUGGUUCUGUAAACCGGUCUAUUUCGCACUCUACGCCGUGGCUAACUACCACUGCAAAUAAAAGUAUUCUUAGGUGACGCCGGUGUAAGCAAUCCUCGGCUUGAUACUUCACACCUGUAACGUGUAUAACGUUAAGCCCGACAAAGAUCAUGGAUAGUAGAAACGGGACAGGAGGAUAUGAAAAUUGCGAGAAGCCUGCCAAGAAAGGUAUAGAUUGCACAAUGGACGAGAGCACAUGGCCGGAAUUGGCUUAAUACACAGAAGACGUGAAACUUCGUUUUUUUUUUUAAGUAGCUACUUGGUGGAUAUGUUUUUUAAUUCGUCAUAUUUUCAUAAGAAUCUAAAAACUUUGCUGGGUUGGAGCUCAGAGGCGCGGUCAAAUGACUGGCUCGUCCCAGACGGGACAAGGGAUAUGACGUUAAACCUGAAAGUUCAUCAUGAUAGUGUACUAGUGUUAAGUAAAUUAUCAGGAAUUUUAUGAUUGCCUUGUAAUUCGCAGGAAUUAAAAUGGCAACAGUACGUAGUUAUCGAUUAUCAAAGGAGCCACGGAUUUGUACGCGGUGAGUCAGAAGGGUUACGUACCGCCUUAGUGUAU